GGCAAACAAGGAUCUGUUAUGGGGGAAAAACUUCUAAUCUGCAGAAUAGCCAUCAGAGUGUUGAAGACCAUGCAUACAAAAGAUUUUUAUUACUUUGGCCGACUCACCAUCCCCCUGUAAAAUUCAUUUCAUAGGACUAACCUGUGGAGCACUCUGGCGGAGUUAGAUACUGUAUUUUAUAAAUGUUUUAUUAGAUUAUAAUGGAAAGAUUUUGUACAUUGCUUCCUGCUCAAUUGUCAAAAGUCAUUUGCCAUGUUGAAAGUUUUAAGCAAAAGAGAUAAGUCUUGAAUACCUUGCUCAAGCAAAAAGCUUGAGGUCUGAUUCUUCCUCUGGUAGUCUUGAAUACCUUGCUCAAGCAAAAGCUUGUUGUCCGAUUCUUUCUCAGAAGAGACGAUUUCUAAAACGAUGUUUCUCGUACAUGCUCAGCACUGCAGUUGUGUGGGUUUCUGCUGCUUGGAAAAUUG
rnacentral:lncRNA from 1 species